rnacentral:tRNA from 1 species
GGCUCAGUGGUCUAAUGGUAUGAUUUUCGGUUUGGGUGCGACAGGCUCCGGGUUCGAUUCCCGGCUGAGCCC